GGGGCUAUAGCUCAGUUGGUAGAGCGCUUCCAUGGCAUUCAAUUCCCCUUAGCUCCA
rnacentral:tRNA from 1 species